rnacentral:rRNA from 1 species
AUUGAACGCUGGCGGCAGGCCUAACACAUGCAAGUCGAGCGGAUGAAGGGAGCUUGCUCCUGGAUUCAGCGGCGGACGGGUGAGUAAUGCCUAGGAAUCUGCCUGGUAGUGGGGGAUAACGUCCGGACACGGGCGCUAAUACCGCAUACGUCCAGAGGGAGAACGUGGGGGAUCUUCGGACCUCACGCUAUCAGAUGAGCCUAGGUCGGAUUAGCUAGUUGGUGGGGUAAAGGCCUACCAAGGCGACGAUCCGUAACUGGUCUGAGAGGAUGAUCAGUCACACUGGAACUGAGACACGGUCCAGACUCCUACGGGAGGCAGCAGUGGGGAAUAUUGGACAAUGGGCGAAAGCCUGAUCCAGCCAUGCCGCGUGUGUGAAGAAGGUCUUCGGAUUGUAAAGCACUUUAAUUUGGGAGGAAGGGCAGUAAGUUAAUACCUUGCUGUUUUGACGUUACCAACAGAAUAAGCACCGGCUAACUUCGUG